AGUGGGGAAUUUUGGACAAUGGGCGCAAGCNUGAUCCAGCAAUGCCGCGUGCAGGAAGAAGGCCUUCGGGUUGUAAACUGUUUUUGUCCGGGAGGAAAAGUUCUGGUUUAAUACCCUGGGCUCAUGACGGUACCGUAAGAAUAAGCACCGGCUAACUACGUGCCAGCAGCCGCGGUAAUACGUAGGGUGCAAGCGUUAAUCGGAAUUUCUGGGCGUAAAGCGUGCGCAGGCGGUUUUGUAAGACAGGCGUGAAAUCCCCGGGCUCAACCUGGGAAUGGCGCUUGUGACUGCAAAGCUGGAGUGCGGCAGAGGGGGAUGGAAUUCCGCGUGUAGCAGUGAAAUGCGUAGAUAUGCGGAGGAACACCAAUGGCGAAGGCAAUCCCCUGGGCCUGCACUGACGCUCAUGCACGAAAGCGUGGGGAGCAAACAGGAUUAGAUACCCUGGUAGUCCACGCCCUAAACGAUGUCAACUGGUUGUUGGUCCUCAGCUGGUUCAGUAACGAAGCUAACGCGUGAAGUG
rnacentral:rRNA from 1 species